CAGUCGCAGUUAGUACUCUCCCGUGUAGACGCGCUGUUUCAAAUUCAAACCGAACGUUAUUCCGACACAAACGCGUUCGUUAUCGUUUCAAAAACUCUCAGAACAGGGAGAAAGAUUUUUUAAUUGGCGAAAGACAGUACAACGAGCUAAAACAAUUACACGUAAUUAUUUUAUUUCAUAUCCUCACACUCCCAGGAUUUUUUAUCAUUAUAUUUCGAUUUAUUCUCUCAUUGUGACUAGAAAAUAUAGUUUAUCAUUCCAGUAAUUUGAUUUUAAUAAUUAGAAUAUUUGGAAGCUUGGGUAAAACCCCUCAAAAGCAAAAAUUAAUUAGUCAUAAUUAUUUUAUCCAUAUUUUCACGCUUUCAGCGAUUUUUAUCAUUACAUUUCGAUUUAUUCUCUCAUUCUGAUCAGAAAAUACAAUUUAUUGUUUAAAUAAUUUCAUUUGAAUAAAUAAAAUUCUUGGAAGCUUGGGUAAAACCCUCCCCCUAGCAACACGAAUUCUGAGAAAUUGUGGGCGGAGCCUAACAAUGAUGGCUAGACAAAGCUCUGGAAUAAAAUAAUAUUCAAAGAUAUUUAUUCCAAAAUAUCUCUCCCUGUUCUGUCUAUUGUGUUGGAAAAAGGUUUAUAGUGAAGUGUUUAUGGUGUUGAUAAUGAGACAGACAAUUUUUCCCCGAUUAAAUUCAAGUGCGGUAAUAUUUUAAACAGUGAAAAUUGGGAUUUUAUUUUGAAUAUUAUUCGCUGCGUUUCGCGAGGGGCAGCUGCGUGCCCCGCGAUUCUCGGAAAUUUUCCCGGCGCGCCAAUUCUUGGAAAACGGCCACAAUAGCUGUCUCCCCCCCUAUUCGCGGAAUCGCUCGCCCCGCGUCGAACGCUCAGUGUGUCCUCAGUCGCGGUAUCGGUAGGGUCGCGGACACUAUUUUCCUCUUAAUUAAUUCGCGAAUAUAAUUACGCGCUUUGUUUAAUUGGUUUUUCGGGAUUAAUUAAUUAUUGUUUCGCGAAAUAAAAUAUAAAUUUUAUAAAUCAAAGACCGGGGGAUAGAAAAAAUAAAAAAGAUCGCGAUGGGCGGGAGAAAGACGCCGUUUAGAUUCUCGAUGAUAAAUUCAUAAUUUUUAACCGAUAUAUUUAUUCGUAAUUAAAUAAAAACAAUUAAAAUUGUGAUUGUGAAGUGAUGGGGUGAGGGAGGGUGUCAGGGGAAAUAAAUCGCGUGAAAUUUCUUUGUCUUCGCGUUGCCUUUGUUUGCGCGUCCUUUUGGCUUGGGGUAGCGUCUUUGCCGGGUAUCGCGAUAAAUAUUGUUUUUUAAUAAAUAAUUGUUUUUCCCAUCGUUAAUUCGGGUGCCGGUAAUUCAAGUGAGUGAUUAGUGAGUGAUUAGUGAGUGGGAGAGGCCAGGGGGGAGGGAAAAAAAAUCGCCUGAAAUUUUUUCCCCCCAACGCCUUUGUUCCCGCGGUUUCUCGCGAGUGCCGCCGCCAUUUUGGGUGACGUAGCGUCAUCGCGCGCCAUGUUGCUUUUUGUAAAUAAUUUUUUUUUGGCGGACGUUAAUGCGAGUGCCACUGAUCUAAGUGAUGAACAGUCUAUUUGAUACGAAGCCUUUAGAAAUUUUUCUGUCAAAUAUGGGCUUCAGGAACAGCCGAAGGCUAAUUAAUUAUAUAAAAUGGUGGAAUCUCUAGUCUCGUUAACAGACCACAUCAUGCGCUGAGCGAUGAAUGUUCAAUUGAGGCUGGAGAUAAUCAGUGAGUGAAAAAGUGAGUGAAAAAGUCAGUAAGUGAGUGAGUGAGUGAGUGAGUCAGUGUAAGUGGUACAAGUCAGGAUAUUGUCUUCCAUAGCAGAGCGGAUUGAAUCUUCACAUUAAUAUGCAGCCCAAGGUAGGAUUUUACAAUUAUCUGCGCACAUCUGUAAUGAGAUGUGCGUUGCUUAUGGCGCCGACAUAUCCAGAAAUCAAGUGAGAAUUAAUAUUAUAUUCUCAUUAAUGGCAAUACGUAUGAUCGACGCCCCUACGACAUUGGCAGAAAAUAUAAGGCAAUAAAUUUCGGUGCUAGGGAAAAUUCUUUGUGAGGCAAAAAUUAUAAUAAAUUUGGUAUAUUCAGAGGAAAAUAUCGGUUUUUUGACGAACGUAGGGGUAUUGGGACGCGAAAAUUGAUAUUUAAAGAAAUAUUCUUCAUAAAUUUUGAAUUAGCUCAAUUUAUAUUAAAAAAUAUUGAACAUAUAUGCCAUAUUCUGAAUAAAUUGGGAAGAUGCAUGCAAAUUGUCCAAAUUAUAUAGGCUUUCUAUUAAAUUUUCUAUUGGGGAGUAACAUUUUUGCAUUAAAAGGGCUAUACAUUCUCUUGAGUAUGCGAACUUUUGGGAUAUUCUGCAUAAAUUUGGAAGAAACAAACAAUUUGUCCAAAUUACACAGAUAUUUAUUAAAUUUUCUAUCGGAGAGUAACAUUUUUUCGUUAAAAAAGCUUUGCAUCCUCUUAAAUAUACCAACUUUUGGAAUAUUCGGCAUAAAUUUGGAAGAUACAAACAAUUUGUCCAAAUUAUAUGCAAAUUCUAUGCAUUUUUCAAUCGGGAGUAACAUUUUUUCAUUAAAAAAGCUUUGCAUCCUCUUGA